UACGGCGGAUCCGAGCGUUAUCCGGAUUUAUUGGGUUUAAAGGGUGCGUAGGCGGCCUUGUAAGUCAGGGGUGAAAGACGGUAGCUUAACUAUCGCAGUGCCUUUGAUACUGCAGGGCUUGAAUGUACUUGAGGUAGGCGGAAUGUGACAAGUAGCGGUGAAAUGCAUAGAUAUGUCACAGAACACCAAUGGCGAAGGCAGCUUACUAAAGUAUGAUUGACGCUGAGGCACGAAAGCGUGGGGAUCAAACAGG
rnacentral:rRNA from 1 species